rnacentral:rRNA from 1 species
UGGGGAAUCUUGGACAAUGGGCGCAAGCCUGAUCCAGCCAUGCCGCGUGAGUGAAGAAGGCCUUCGGGUUGUAAAGCUCUUUUACCAGGGACGAUAAUGACGGUACCUGGAGAAUAAGCCCCGGCUAACUUCGUGCCAGCAGCCGCGGUAAUACGAAGGGGGCUAGCGUUGCUCGGAAUUACUGGGCGUAAAGGGAGCGUAGGCGGACAUUUAAGUCAGAGGUGAAAUCCCGGAGCUUAACUUCGGAACUGCCUUUGAUACUGGGUGUCUUGAGUGUGAGAGAGGUAUGUGGAACUCCGAGUGUAGAGGUGAAAUUCGUAGAUAUUCGGAAGAACACCAGUGGCGAAGGCGGCUCACUGGCCAGUUUCUGACGCUGCAGCGCGAAAGCGUGGGGAUCAAACAGGAUUAGAUACCCGGGUAGUCCCUGAGCGGGCUGGCAAGGCGCAU